CGCAAGCCUGACGGAGCAAUACCGCGCGAGGGAGGAAGGCCUUUGGGUUGUAAACCUCAAAAAUUAGGGAAGAAGAAAGUGACGGUACCUAAUAUAAGCAUCGGCUAACUCCGUGCCAGCAGCCGCGGUAAUACGGAGGAUGCAAGCGUUAUCCGGAAUCAUUGGGCGUAAAGAGUCCGUAGGUGGCUAAUCAAGUCCGAAGUUAAAGACAGAAGCUAAACUUCGGAGAGGCGGUGGAAACUGAAAAGCUAGAGUACAGAAGGGGUAGAGGGAAUUCCCAGUGUAGCGGUGAAAUGCGUAGAGAUUGGGAAGAACACCAGUGGCGAAGGCGCUCUACUGGGCUUGUACUGACGCUGAGGGACGAAAGCUAGGGUAGCG
rnacentral:rRNA from 1 species